UGACAUGAGUAGCGAUAAAGGGGGUGAAAAGCCCCCUCGCCGUAAGUCCAAGGUUUCCUGCGCAACGUUCAUCGGCGCAGGGUGAGUCGGCCCCUAAGGCGAGGCAGAGAUGCGUAGCUGAUGGGAAGCUGGUUAAUAUUCCAGCACCGUCGUACAGUGCGAUGGGGGGACGGAUCGCGGAGAAUCAUCAGGGUGUUGGAAGUCCCUGUUGCUGCAUUAGAGAGGGCGCUUAGGCAAAUCCGGGCGCAUGACUCAAGGGUGUGGCACGAGCGAACAUGUUUCGCGAAGUGAUUGGAAGUGGUUCCAAGAAAAGCCUCUAAGCUUCAGCUGUACGAGACCGUACCGCAAACCGACACAGGUGGACGGGAUGAAUAUUCCAAGGCGCUUGAGAGAACUCGGGAGAAGGAACUCGGCAAAUUGAUACCGUAACUUCGGGAGAAGGUAUGCCCCGGUAGUGUGAGGCGCCUGCGCGCUGAGCAUGAUGGGGUCGCAGAGAAUCGGUGGCUGCGACUGUUUAUUAAAAACACAGCACUCUGCAAAGACGAAAGUCGACGUAUAGGGUGUGACGCCUGCCCGGUGCCGGAAGGUUAAGUGAUGGGGUGCAAGCUCUUGAUCGAGGCCCCGGUAAACGGCGGCCGUAACGAUAACGGUCCUAAGGUAGCGAAAUUCCUUGUCGGGUAAGUUCCGACCUGCACGAAUGGCGUAACGAUGGCCACACUGUCUCCUCCCGAGACUCAGCGAAGUUGAAGUGUUUGUGAUGAUGCAAUCUACCCGCGGCUAGACGGAAAGACCCCAUGAACCUUUACUGUAGCUUUGCAUUGGACUGUGAACCGGCCUGUGUAGGAUAGGUGGGAGGCGCUGAAACCGAGUCGCUAGAUUCGGUGGAGCCAACCUUGAAAUACCACCCUGGUUUGUUUGCGGUUCUAACCUUGGUCCGUUAUCCGGAUUGGGGACAGUGCAUGGUGGGCAGUUUGACUGGGGCGGUCUCCUCCCAAAGCGUAACGGAGGAGUUCGAAGGUACGCUAGGUACGGUCGGAAAUCGUGCUGAUAGUGCAAUGGCAUAAGCGUGCUUGACUGUGAGACUGACAAGUCGAACAGGUGCGAAAGCAGGACAUAGUGAUCCGGUGGUUCUGAAUGAAGGGCCAUCGCUCAACGGAUAAAAGGUACUCUGGGGAUAACAGGCUGAUACCGCCCAAGAGUUCAUAUCGACGGCGGUGUUUGGCACCUCGAUGUCGGCUCAUCUCAUCCUGGGGCUGUAGCCGGUCCCAAGGGUAUGGCUGUUCGCCAUUUAAAGAGGUACGUGAGCUGGGUUUAAAACGUCGUGAGACAGUUUGGUCCCUAUCUGCCGUGGGCGUUGGAUACUUGACGGAGCCUGCUCCUAGUACGAGAGGACCGGAGUGGACGUACCUCUGGUGUACCGGUUGUCAUGCCAAUGGCAUUGCCGGGUAGCUAUGUACGGAAGAGAUAACCGCUGAAGGCAUCUAAGCGGGAAACUCGUCUGAAGAUUAGGUAUCCCGGGGCCUCGAGCCCCCUGAAGGGUCGUUCAAGACCAGGACGUUGAUAGGUCAGGUGUGGAAGCGCAGUAAUGCGUUAAGCUAACUGAUACUAAUUGCCCGUGCGGCUUGAUC
rnacentral:rRNA from 1 species